CCGUAUCCGGCCCAUAUGUAAUGCAUUUCAGUGAGCCGACCGGAGUAAACACUCUAAUACUGCAUGUACUAAAUACUGAUAGGCUAAGGAUAAGAAGCAAUUACAGUUAUCACAAACUCUGGGUAUGGUGUGUUUUUUCUUAAGCCACAUGAUCAAGACUUGUUAAAAAGCCAAAUAAAAAAUACCUAUACUAAUACAAUUUAUUUUUGGAAAGCCACAAAGACUGUAUAAUGGAGGAGAAAAAAUUAGCAGGCAGUGUUCCGAGGACAAAAAACAAUGCUAAACAAAAGUUAUGUCUUUUUGUAGAAUAAGUCCUGUAGACUAAGAAGACUCUGCUCUUACUGCCCAACCUUUUUAUUUAUUAAAGGGGUUCCAUCCUAUUUUCUUAUUAUUUUGCUUCAAUGGUUGUGUGUAUUGUAGCUGUCUUACCAUUCCUUUUGUCUCCUCUUUUUUUUUUUUUUUUUUUUUUUUAACCUCAGUUGACUCACCGUUCGUCUUUUGGUUUCCUUUCCCUUCCUUCCUGUUUGUGGGCUAUGUGAAACUACAUUUCCCAUCCUCCCAGUGAGUCUUUUUUUUUUUCUUUUGUGUCCUCCCUUUUUUCAUCUUUGACCUUUCCUACUCCCUUUUGUGUCCACCCCAGGCUUGCCUUCCUUCAUUAGUCUGCCAUCUGUGUCUUUUUUCCCAUCCCUGUUGCCAUUUUGUUCUUAUUGGCUCUUAACAUGUGAUCCUCCUUUAGCCACCAUGGAAUAGCUUCAUGCGCUGCGCAUCAUGUGUAAUUGGUGCAGCACAAAAUUCAUAUCACAGCAUCAUUUGAUCGCGGAAACGAGGCUGAAAAGUCACAUGACUUUUGCAAAACCUUGCAGUUUUCUAAGACGAGGCUUGCUAAAGUCACAUGACUUCACGGAAUGUUCAUUGGUUGAGCGAAGACGAGGCUGUAAAGUCAUGUGGUCAUGUCCACGGGCAGAAGGAGGAUCACAGAACGAAAGUAUGAAUAAUAAACAGAUGGGCGGCGGGAGGCGGAACAGAGAAGGCAGGCUCAAAUCACGGAACCCAUCCCCAUGAGGACAAAACGAUCACUGAAACUCCGCAAGUUCACAUUUGUGUAUUUAGAUCCAUUUGGUGCUGCUGUUGGUGAUAUAUAACAGGCUUCCUGGCUCUGCUGAAGAACCAAGGUGUUACCCAGCAUGCAGGAACCAAACCAAGAAACAUAGGAACCACCAAAAUCACACUGGAGGGGAACUGAUGGUCUAAAGUUCUGGUGCUGCACCAUGUUUCAGUCUAUGGGGCAAUGGAUGGCCUGCCGGGUGCAGAAGUUCCAACCUAUUUCAUACAUCGUUCCUAUCUGGACAUAUAUGUG